CUGGAGUCUCCAUUUUAUCAAGUUUUUUUCAGAUGUUGGAAGCAACGUACGCACACGUUCAGACAAGGUUAAUUUUGAGCCUUUUUUGCAGAGGCCAAGGACAUUUUAUAUUUGCAUCUGUUGUGUAUGACUUGGUGCGGAGAGCUUCUCAUAGCCGGAACAGACGCCCAGAAGAGGAUCUCUGCGCCUGGGACAGAAAAGAAAUGCCAGGAGGGACCGAGGAGGGAUGGGGCAAUUUGGGGUGGAAGUUAUUAAGCCUGGUGAGAGUGAAUCUGCAAAGGGUGAUUGUCUUUAAAUCCAGGACUGCUGUGUGCAGCUCUGCGCGAACAGGGAUGGACGCUGUUUGAGUACAGGGCUCCGGACAACCUUGUUGGACGUCGAUUCAAUCAAAACCAAGGAGAAGCUUCAUGAACUGCAGAAUAAACAAUUCUGCAGAUUUUUAAUUUAAUUUUUAAAGAUAAGUCAAAGGAAAAGAACACAAAGAAGGUGCUUCAGAAGGAACUUCAGAAAUAAACCCCUUAUUUCCGGUUGAAUUUUUUAUGUUUCGUCUUUCCUUUUCUCCUCUUCCUCCUUUUUGUUUUCCUUUUUUCUUUCCUUCAUUUCCCUUUUCGUUCCUUCCUUUCUCUCUCCAUUCCUUUCUUCCCCUUUAAAUGUUAACCUUAAAUCAUACACAAUCUAUACAGAUUUUUCACUAGGAGCAUCAGCAAAGAUUUUCUUCUUUGCUUCCAGAGCUAGUUAGGAGAUGAGAAGGGAUUUUUCUUAAUCUUAUUGUGUGGUGGGACUUGAAACGGGUUCCACACCCCCUGACUUCUAGAACUAAAAUCAGUGCCAGAUCAAUAAUCUGAAAGAUAAAUAUUAUAGACUUGGAAGUUCAGAUUCUCCAGGCACAAGACAUUUAAUUAAUGGAAAUAAUUGUUUUCUCCCUUUCAAAUCAAUAAUUCUGUCAUUGUUAUUACCUAAAGAUCAUUACAACCCAAAUAAAAUGCAUUUGGAAAAAUCUCACUUUUUUUCUCUAAAUGCUUUUAACACCUUUUAAUAUCUUUUUGGUAUAUUAUUGCCUAGUCUAAAAUAAAUAAACUCUGAGAUUUAACAAAACAAAACCU
rnacentral:lncRNA from 1 species